rnacentral:rRNA from 1 species
AGUGAACGCUGGCGGUAGGCCUAACACAUGCAAGUCGAACGGCAGCACAGUAAGAGCUUGCUCUUACGGGUGGCGAGUGGCGGACGGGUGAGGAAUACAUCGGAAUCUACUUUUUCGUGGGGGAUAACGUAGGGAAACUUACGCUAAUACCGCAUACGACCUACGGGUGAAAGCAGGGGAUCUUCGGACCUUGCGCGAUUGAAUGAGCCGAUGUCGGAUUAGCUAGUUGGCGGGGUAAAGGCCCACCAAGGCGACGAUCCGUAGCUGGUCUGAGAGGAUGAUCAGCCACACUGGAACUGAGACACGGUCCAGACUCCUACGGGAGGCAGAAGUGGGGAAUAUUGGACAAAGGGCGCAAGCCUGAUCCAGCCAUACCGCGUGGGUGAAGAAGGCCUUCGGGUUGUAAAGCCCUUUUGUUGGGGAAGAAAAGCAGCAGGUUAAUACCCCGCUGUUCUGACGGUACCCAAAGAAUAAGCACCGGCUAACUUCGUG